ensembl:lncRNA
GAAGCCACCAGAAGCUUCUAAGCAGAGGAGGACGUGCUCUGAGUUAUGAUUUCAAAAGACCACUAGGCUUGCUAUGUUGAGAACAGAGGAAAGUGUGGACGCGGGGAGACCAUUUAUCGUCUAGUUGAGAGAUGAUGGUGUCUUGUUGAAGAGGUAGCAGUAGUGAUCGUGAGAAAUGGCUUGGUUUUGAUACAGUUUGAAGGCAUAAUCCGUAGACUUUUCUGGUGGAAUCCAUGUGUGAUUUGAGAAGAAAGUAAUAAAAAGUGUUGUGGGUGAUGAUGACGGGAGAGCAUGCGAAGCACAAGUGGAAGGAUGGAGCACAUAGAGGAGAAAUCCCGUUCAUCACGAACCGGGGAUGAUGCAGGGCUGUGGCUGGAAGAAAGAUCUCGGGAGCCCUCAUCUGAGUAUUAGAAGAUGUAGAGUUCAUCAUAUUCACAGUCCUUCCCUCAGGACGCCUCUGUCCCGAGCGCUCUCCAUGUCAAUCUGCUCAAUCCACCCUGUGGCUGCCUCACUUCAGUCUCCAGGUGUCCUGCUGCCCCAAAUGAGCGACUCUCCGCUUUCUCUCGUUCAGCUUUUAUUUUUCUGCCUCUGCAACUUGAUCACGCUCUUCUGUGUUACUUUAUUGAUUCAAUAAAUAUUUAGUAAGUUCUUUACCUCCUGCCAGGUGCUGAGAAUGUUAAGAGCGGACAAGAAAGACAAUAUCUAGGCAGGCAUGGAGCUUACUUACCAUUUUUAGCAGAGGAUGGGGAGGGGCAGAAGGACACCAGUAAAAAUACAAAUAAGCUAAAUUUUCACAGUUGUAGGUACUAUAAAGGCAGCAAGAUGCAAUGUUCAUUUGACUUGCUACGGCGUCGUGUGUGUCAGGUGGGGGAAGGGGCCCUGGGGAAAGUGGGCAUGUCCAGGUGGAAGCCUUAGAAGGGCAAGUGCUCAGGGAAGGCUCUGCAGAGGAGGUUAUGUACCUCUUGAGAGCAGCAAUGCGAAGCUCAGUCAGAGCCCAGGAAGUGUCGCUAAGCUGGAGCGUAGGUAGCUGCCUCCGUGCAGGGAUGGCCUGGGUGUCCUGAGAAGCAGCUGCUCCCGUGGCUGGGUGCUCGGGCCUGGGAGGGUGCUCAGUACUGCAGGACACGCAGGCAGGAGAGCUGGGCCGCCGGAGCCUGGCUGUGCUCUCUCAACUGUAGUUUGUUUCUUUGUUUAGUAAACUCUGUCCCCAGCGUGGGACUCUGGGGCGGUACUCACGACCUGGAGAUCAAGAGUCACAUGAUCUGCCUACUGAGCCAGCCAGGUGCCCCUGUAGUUUGUCCUUUAAAGCCGUGAUCAAAUCCCCUUUUUCUAACCAUCCCCUGAGCCUGCCGGCUGAGAACGAUCUUUCUGGACCACCUGGCACAUGGCCCAGUGGUGUUGCACUUUGGGAUCUCAGUGUCUGUUCUUCCCAAGAGUUAAAUUUGCUUUCUUUUUUGUUUCUACCCUAUACGGGACAAUAUUCUAAAUUUUAAGGUUUUUAUUUUUAUUUUUAUUUUUUUAAGAAUGCUACACCCAACAACAGGGCUCGAACUUAACCCCAAGAUCAAGAGUUGCGGGCUUUACCUACCGAGACGGCCAGGCACCCAACAAUACUAGAAUGAGGAAAGGAGAAGGAGAAAAGGUACAAUGCACAAGCCUGUCCCUUCUGAUUGAGUCACUUUGGAAUGAACUGAGUUUCGGUGAAACACACUUUCUUUUAGUGUAUCCAAGCUAAUUUUCAGAGGCAAGUAAUUUAAUUUUCUUGAAUAAUUGAUAAGAGCAGUUGUAAUUCCCAAAGUGACUGUUUUUUACCCCACCCAGGUUUUUUUCUCCAGAAUAACAAUUAGUGAUUAAUUGCCAUUAAGAAUUAAUAGUCUUGAACAAUGUUGGCUUUUUUUUUUUUUACUUUUCAUUUUUUAAAAAGAUUUUAUUUAUCUAUUCCUGAGAGACACGGAGAUAGGCAGAGACAGAAGCAGACUCCUUGUGGGGAGCCCGUUGUGGGACUCGAUCCCGGGACCCUGGGACCACACCCUGGGCUGAAGGCAGGUAUUUAACCGCUGAGCCACCCAGGGAUCCCCAUUUUUUUUACUUUUUAAAAAAGUGAUCUUUAACAUGGGGCUCAGACGCACGACCCUGAGAUUACGAGCGGCACGCUCUGCUGGCCGAGCCAGCCAGUACCCACCCCCAGAUAUCUUGUUUUUGGUGCUGUGCCCACUCUGAGCUUGAGCUUUGUAUGAAGAACUGAUGGUACGUUACCUGCAACGGGGGACUUUUCUCCUGCAUCACCAGCUGCUACUGUGUGCUAGAGACCGUGAUACGUCUUUUCAGGUGGUUAUAUAUAUCCCUUUAUCUUCAGGAUAAUCUUUGAGCUGUGUGUUAUUUUCUAGUUGGAAAAAAAAAAACUGGGUUCAUAGAGGUCAUAUUCGGUCCCCAGUUUAUAGAAUUAGCAAAUGGCGAGCAGACAUUUAAAUUUGGGGCUUCUGACCACUUCUCUGUGAAGCUGCCAUGCUUUAAAUAAUAAUAUAGCAAACACCGACCACUUGCUAUUUCCAGGUACAAUCUUAACCACUGUGCUCUUAAGUGCUGUGAUGUGCUGUUCAUCUCUCCUUCCUUCUCUAACUCUCAUUUUCCCCCCGAGCAUUCAUCAGACAGUGAGAGGCAGUGGGUGCAGCCAGAGGCCUGGUGCGCGGGCCCUGCCUGGAGCCAGAUUGCCCGGGUCAGGGGCUUCUCAGCCAGCUUACUGGCCGUGUGGGCAAAUUACUCAGCAUCUCUGUGGUUUGCUUUCCUUAUUUUUAAGGAGGGAUAAUAGGCCUCCUUACCGUCUCACCUCCCUGGGUUAGUGUAAGGAUUAAGGGGGAAGAGCCUCGCAGGAGCCCGGGGUGGUAGUGGUGAGGCCUCCCGGGCACUGGGCCUCCUGCCGGUGAAAGGCCUCGCCCUCCCGCUGCACCUCAACUACAGCUAUAACAUUUUUGGACAAAAUAACCGCUGCUCCGGGUUCCCUUGAGUUGCCCAACAGCCGGGGGCUCCCCGAAACUCCGUUCUCCAGGGCUUGGAACAUCUCAAAUGACUCCCGAAUCUGUUCUUCUGGUUCUGACCAUUUAUCUCCAGCCAAUUUCCAAAUAAAAGAAAACCCUAUGUGCA